rnacentral:rRNA from 1 species
GCGCGAAAACUUUACAAUGCGGGAAACCGUGAUAAGGGAAUCUCGAGUGCCAGCAUAUAAUGUUGGCUGUCCAGAUGCCUAAAAAGCAUCUGUUAGCAAGGGCCGGGCAAGACCGGUGCCAGCCGCCGCGGUAACACCGGCGGCCCGAGUGGUAACCGCUUUUAUUGGGUCUAAAGGGUCUGUAGCCGGCCAAGUAAGUCCCUUGGGAAAUCUGGCAGCUUAACUGUCAGGCUGCUAGGGGAUACUGCUAGGCUUGGGACCGGGAGAGGUGAGAGGUACCUUGGGGGUAGGGGUGAAAUCUUGUGAUCCUCGGGGGACCACCAGUGGCGAAGGCGUCUCACCAGAACGGGUCCGACGGUAAGGGACGAAAGCUAGGGGCACGAACCGGAUUAGAAACCCCAG